CUGGAUAGCAACAAGAGUUUUUGCCAUGCUUGGAUUUGUAACUGGUGUCAUUGUGACGUCAGUGUUUCUAUGGUUCCUUUACAGAAGAACAGGGACUGGACGUUGCUCUCAUGGUUUUAUAGUGAUUGGAUGUUUAAUUACAGGGGGCUUACUAGGUAUUUCUCUUGCAGUCUUUUAUGCAGCAGUCAAUGAUCUGGCCAGUAAUGAAAAUAUCAAGAUCAGUUUUUCUUUCGGGAUGACCUGUAUUGCGGCAAUUUUAUACGUUUUCAAUGGAUUUACUUUAGUGUUUGCCAUAUGCACAGGGUCUGGCACCAUCGGAAGAAAAAGUACCAAAUCACUUAAAGAAGAGGAGUUUAUUACCUAUUGAAUUUUAAGUUUAGUGAAGUGAUGUUUUUAUGUCGUAUUGUAAAUAUUUCUAUUGUGGAUAUUUGCAAGAACAUGUUUUAUGAAAUUUAUGACAAAGGUAUAAAAUCAGGGCCGAGCGAUUUUUUUUUCAACGGGAGUUAUGUCCCCUGGAAAUGUAAAUUAUAUGAACAAUCUCGGAAUAUCGGCGGGGGACAUUGACAGCUCUGUUGUUAUCUUUUAUAUUUGUAAAAAAACAAAUUCUCUGGUUAAAAUUGUUAAAUCAAGAUGAAUAAAAAUACUUUUUACGA